rnacentral:rRNA from 1 species
UACGGGGGGGGCAAGCGUUGUUCGGAAUUACUGGGCGUAAAGGGCUCGUAGGCGGCCAACUAAGUCCGACGUGAAAUCCCCAGGCUCAACUUGGGAACUGCGUCGGAUACUGGAUGGCUUGAAUUCGGGAGAGGGAUGCAGAAUUCCAGGUGUAGCGGUGAAAUGCGUAGAGAUCGGGAGGAACACCGGCGGCGAAGGCGGCUGCCUGGACCGGCCCUGACGCUGAGGCGCGAAAGCUAGGGGAGCAAACAGG